AAGAUAGAGGUGCGUCUUUAGAUGAUUAGCUGGUUUGAGGUUGCCGAAACCGCAGACAGCCAGUAAAAGGCUUUGGUCGCCGAAGGAAAAGAGUUGGCAACUCUUUUCCUGGGUGCACUGGCGAACAGCGGUGCGACUGUCAUCAUGAUAUUUAUGAUGGAGAGCUAUCUG
rnacentral:ncRNA from 1 species